rnacentral:misc_RNA from 1 species
GUCUGAAAUCAAAGCCUUCGAGACCCAAUUGGCCCGUACUGAAUCCCUCCCCGAAUACAUUUUCUAUGAUGGUCCUCCUUUUGCCACCGGCCUCCCUCACUACGGCCACAUACUCGCCGGAACUAUUAAGGACAUUGUCACCCGCUACCAGACCAUGAGGGGCCACCAUGUUACUCGCCGCUUCGGCUGGGAUUGCCAUGGUCUGCCUGUG